rnacentral:rRNA from 1 species
AGCGAACGCUAGCGGCGGGCCUAACACAUGCAAGUCGAGCGCCCUUCGGGGAGCGGCGAACGGGUGAGUAACACGUAGGUAAUCUGCCCUUUGGUGGGGAAUAGCCCGGGGAAACCCGGAUUAAUACCGCAUAUGGUCUUCGGAUCAAAGCCUUCGGGCGCCAAAGGAUGAGCCUGCGGCCCAUUACCUAGUAGGUGGGGUAACGGCCUACCUAGGGAACGAUGGGUAGCUGGUCUGAGAGGAUGAUCAGCCACACUGGAACUGAGACACGGUCCAGACUUCUACGGGAGGCAGCAGUGGGGAAUAUUGCGCAAUGGGCGAAAGCCUGACGCAGCCACGCCGCGUGUGUGAUGAAGGCUUUCGGGUCGUAAAGCACUGUCGGGAGGGAAGAAGAUCUGACGGUACCUCCCAAGAAAGCACCGGCUAACUCCGUGCCAGCAGCCGCGGUAAUACGGAGGGUGCGAGCGUUGCUCGGAAUCACUGGGCGUAAAGCGUACGUAGGCGGAUUGUUAAGUCGGGUGUGAAAGCCCAGGGCUCAACCCUGGAAUUGCGCUCGAUACUGGCAGUCUUGAGUACGGGAGAGGGAUAGCGGAAUGUCUGGUGUAGAGGCGAAAUUCGUAGAUAUCAGACGGAACACCAGUGGCGAAAGCGGCUUCCUGGCCCGAUACUGACGCUGAGGUACGAAAGUGUGGGGAGCAAACAGGAUUAGAUACCCUGGUAGUCCACACCGUANACGAUGAGUGCUAGCUGCUGGGAAUGUUUACCGUCUCAGUGGCGAAGCUAACGCAUUAAGCACUCCGCCUGGGAAGUAC